GAUGAAGAACGUAGCAAAAUGCGAUAAGUAAUGUGAGUUGCAGAAUUCAGUGAAUCAUCGAAUCUUUGAACGCACAUUGCGCCCGCUGGUAUUCCGGCGGGCAUGCCUGUUCGAGCGUCAUUUCAACCCUCAAGCCCCCGGGUUUGGUGUUGGGGAUCGGCUCUGCCCUUCUGGGCGGUGCCGCCCCCGAAAUACAUUGGCGGUCUCGCUGCAGCCUCCAUUGCGUAGUAGCUAACACCUCGCAACUGGAACGCGGCGCGGCCAUGCCGUAAAACCCCAACUUCUGAAUGUUGACCUCGGAUCAGGUAGGAAUACCCGCUGAACUUAAGCAUAUCAAUAAGCGGAGGA
rnacentral:misc_RNA from 1 species